rnacentral:rRNA from 1 species
UAAGGAAUAUUGGUCAAUGGACGAAAGUCUGAACCAGCCAUGCCGCGUGGAGGAUGAAGGUCCUCNGGAUUGUAAACUUCUUUUAUCUGGGACGAAAAAAGGUCUUUCUAGAUCGUCUGACGGUACCAGAUGAAUAAGCACCGGCUAACUCCGUGCCAGCAGCCGCGGUAAUACGGAGGGGUGCAAGCGUUAUCCGGAUUCACUGGGUUUAAAGGGUGCGUAGGUGGGUUGGUAAGUCAGUGGUGAAAUCUUCGAGCUUAACUCGGAAACUGCCAUUGAUACUAUCAUCUUGAAUAUUGUGGAGGUUAGCGGAAUAUGUCAUGUAGCGGUGAAAUGCUUAGAUAUGACAUAGAACACCAAUUGCGAAGGCAGCUGGCUACACAUAUAUUGACACUGAGGCACGAAAGCGUGGGGAUCAAACAGGAUUAGAUACCCUGGUAGUCCACGCCCUAAACUAUGGAUACUCGACAUACGCGAUACACUGCGUGUGUCUGANCGAAAGCAUUAAAGUAUCCCCACCUGGGAAGUACGAUCGCAAGAUUGAAACUCAAAGGAAUUGACGGGGUCAUAGCU